rnacentral:rRNA from 1 species
CCUACGGGAGGCAGCAGUGGGGAAUCUUCCGCAAUGGACGAAAGUCUGACGGAGCAACGCCGCGUGAACGAUGACGGCCUUCGGGUUGUAAAGUUCUGUUAUACGGGACGAAUGGUACGACGGUCAAUACCCGUCGUAAGUGACGGUACUGUAAGAGAAAGCCACGGCUAACUACGUGCCAGCAGCCGCGGUAAUACGUAGGUGGCGAGCGUUGUCCGGAAUUAUUGGGCGUAAAGAGCAUGUAGGCGGUUUUUUAAGUCUGGAGUGAAAAUGCGGGGCUCAACCCCGUGAGGGGACCGAAACUGCGAUGCUAGAGUAUCGGAGAGGAAAGCGGAAUUCCUAGUGUAGCGGUGAAAUGCGUAGAUAUUAGGAGGAACACCAGUGGCGAAAGCGGCUUUCUGGACGACAACUGACGCUGAGGCGC